rnacentral:snRNA from 1 species
ACAAAUAUCUGAUGACAAAAAAA